AGGUGUAUAGCUCAGUUGGCAAAGCAUUGAGCUUUUAACCUAAUAGUCGCAGGUUCAAGUUUGUCUAUACCCA
rnacentral:tRNA from 1 species